GUGGCUGGCUGUGGGUGCCAUAGCAACCGUCUAGGAAACACUGGCAGCAGUGGCUAGCUCGUUAGGCUAGCGUUGGUUUGUUAUGCUAGCGUUAAACACGACGCCGAGGAGUGUCCAAGUCAGCCCUAGUUAAUUAUUGUCACAAGUCAGCGCUAUCUACUCGCAUCGCCGCGCAUGUUACUUAAUUCUAACUUUGCUCCGUGCUUUCUAGGAAGCUGUCGGUGAUGGCACACCGCCGUAACGUUAAAGUGUUAAGUUUAGCUAACUUGGCCAACGGUAAUUUCCAUCACUUGCAGUAGGCUAACGUUAGCCGCCAAGGCCGUAAACUUAGGUUACCUCAACGCCACCGUUAUGUAAACGUUUGCACCGUUUUUUGUCGUUUAUUUUCUCAAUUUCCGAUUUAAUCUUUCUCAUGUUAGAUUAGCGCAACUUUAAGUCACUUUAGCAGCGUUGUCAUGGCUCAUCCCAAUUGUUAGGGAGUGUUAUCUGGGGUUGGUAAGGUUAGACUCGAUGCUGAGAUUAGCUGCUAGUUAAUUAUUUUUCUUGCACGAUUAAUCUUAUUGAUAGCAACAGACACGGAUUUUAUUUUAUUUUUAAAAUUGUUAUUGUUAUAAAUGAAUGGCCGUUCUUGCACGGCAUGAACAAAUUCAUGGUAGUACUUCUUAGUUAAACGCUAACAUUUAAUUUUCUUUUUAGUUUUUUAUCCUUUUGUUAAUUGAAAGGGGUGUAGUCUAACGUGCUGUUUACUAAGCCACACCACAAUUACUUGAGUUCAGAAAAUGUCACGUUCCGACCUCAACCUGCGAUAAUUCAUGUUUUCUGCUAAAGAAUUAAGCGAUUGUAGACAAAUGGUUAGGUUUGUGUGCGUGAAAGAGAAUUUAUGUUUGUCACAAAUGUCAUUUCAGUAUUCAGUCUGAACUAGUAUGGAUGUUGAUGACUGCAAUGGACGGUCUUACAUAUCAGCAGGUAGUGGAGACUCUUCAUUGGAAAGAGAGUUUUCUGGAGCUCUUGGAGGUCCAACAGUGAGCACUCCAAACAGCAAGGAAAACUCUCCUAGUCGCUCCCUCAGUGCCAACUCCAUUAAAGUGGAGCUGUAUAGUGAUGAAGACCCAGGUCGCAGUACUGAAGAUGAGCGAGGAGAACGGGUAGAGGAAGGAGGUCCAGAGCAAGGUUCUGAGGCUGUCACAAGCUAUAGAGAGCUCACCAAUUCUGAAACCAUCCCAAGUGGAGCCACCAGACUGCCGAAUGGAAAGCUCAAGUGUGACAUCUGUGGAAUGAUCUGCAUUGGGCCUAAUGUCCUUAUGGUGCACAAACGCAGCCACACAGGUGAGCGACCAUUUCAGUGUAAUCAGUGUGGCGCGUCCUUCACUCAAAAGGGAAACCUACUCCGCCACAUCAAGCUGCACUCAGGGGAGAAGCCCUUUAAAUGUCCCUUCUGCAGCUAUGCCUGUCGAAGACGGGAUGCACUUACUGGCCAUCUUCGCACUCAUGCAGUGUCUUCUCCAACUGUUGGGAAGCCAUAUAAGUGCAGCUAUUGUGGCCGUAGUUACAAGCAGCAAAGCACUCUGGAGGAGCACCGUGAGCGCUGUCAUAGCUACUUACAGAGUCUGGAUUCACAGCAGCCGACCAGUGCACCAAAUUCAGGAGAGGAAAUGAGAGAGCUAGAGUUUAUACCAGAUCCUCUACUGCAGCCAUCCUCAGACAAGAUGGCAUUUAUCGAUCGGCUCGCCAACAGCAUCACCAAACGCAAGAGAUCCACGCCACAAAAAUUUGUAGGUCAGAAGCACAUACGCCUCAACCUUGCAGAUACACCUUACGAGCUCACUGCUAGUUUGGAUAAAGAUGGAGACAUGCACCCAGUGGACCUUGAUGCCCCGCACUUUACUGGUCUGGGAGGAGAAUAUGUAGGUGUUGCAGGUACUGGAAGAGGAGGGGUAUCAGACACGCUCAGACCCUUACACCUUCCCACCAGUCACUCUUCAUGUUUAUCAGAACUCAGGCCGAUUCACAGCUCCAGUCAUGCUCCUGUUCCCCUUGGGCCAAGGUUAGAUUGCACAGGGGCAGGAGCUGGCCUGGGAGCUGUGGGUGUUGGGAGCAGGGAGGCAGCAGAGGGUCACGAAGACCUGCCUCCGGGUCGAAAUCACGCCCCUUCUCCUACCAAUGGCUGCCAGGAUUCUACAGACACAGAAAGCAUGGCAGAUGAGCCUUGCAACAGCUGUGCUCCGACUCCGACUUUGCACAGUAACAACGGCCAUCACCUCCUCCACUCUAACAACCAUAACCCAGCACCUCCACCCAUCACACACCACAGGAGUCGGGGCCGACACAGCCCCAGUCAUGCCAAAGACCAGGAGGUGAAAAGAGAGGAUGGAGGCCAUUCUGCUCUCCCUCCUCCUACACAUGCUCCAACACCGAGCUCACCUACGGCACCCUCUUCUACCUCCAGGGAGACUUUUCGGGUUGUAGACGGGGAGGGGCGAGCUGUGCGUUCUUUCCGCUGCGAGCACUGCCGUGUGCUUUUCCUGGACCAUGUUAUGUUUACAAUCCACAUGGGCUGCCAUGGUUUUCGGCAGCCUUUUGAGUGCAACAUCUGUGGCCAUCGCAGCCAGGAUCGCUAUGAAUUUUCUUCGCACAUUGUCCGUGGAGAGCACAUCUUUGACUGAGGAUAAAAGGACAGCCUGCUGCCCUUAGAGGGUUUUUUGUUGUUGUUGUUGUUGUUGUUGUUUUUUAACACUGAAAAUGGGAUCUGGUUGAGUUUGGUCUGCACAAGAGUGAAAGGCAUCUGUGAUGGUGUGAAACUGAUGUUCCUAACGACACCAACACAGUUAGCAUUAGUGGGAAGCUCAUGUAUAUGUUUAAAGAAUUAGAGUAGUGCUCAUUAUUGCUUUCAGUCCACUUUUAACAACAAAUCUAUAUUAAAUUAUUAAAGUAGAUGAAGAGCCAACACUUUUUCAUCCACAGAUGUGCCUUGCUCCAAAAUUCAGAAUUUCAGCUCUGCUGCACACAUUAUUGUAGACAAAUCUGACUUUUGUUGCUGAAACCUUUGACCCCUUGGGCACUUUAGCAGAGAUGAAAGAAAAUGCUAAAUAUAAAGUUUGUAGGCUUGCAGUCCCUACAGAAUUUUUUGACACCUUCUAAAAAGCACUUUUUCCAAUUAAAUGAUUCUCAAACAGACUUUAGGUUCGGCCAGGUUUUUUCCUAGCCCGAGGUUGAUUCUGUACAAGUUUUUAUAAUGCAAAGUAAAGUGCAGACCAAACUUAAAAACCAAGUCCAAGUCAUCUAGACUUUAAUGUUUGAUGGGUUGUCAUUGGAAUAGAAAUGCACUUUGGUUUCAGUGGGAAUGGAGUGAACAGUGUGUGUGUGUGUGUGUGUGUGUGUGUGUGUGUGGAAAGCUGUGAGAUUGUGUGUUUGUUUUUGAAAGUAAAUUCAACACGUAAAAUGGAAAAUGAAGGCCUUUAUUUCUGUGAGUGAAUGCUGUGUUGGAAGUGUGUGAAUUGUUUUCCUUUUCUAUGAUUGCUUUUGUUGCACUGAUACCUGCCAGAAUACAAUGAUUAUAUUAAACUAUUUUAUAGAUACAUUAAAGACCUGCACAUUUCUCUGAAAAUGUGAGAAAAAACAGGUGGAAUGUUUUUCUCACUAGGAACGGGAUUCGAGCAUCACUGCCACAACUUGAGAGAUUACUGAAGGAGGUUAAGUUGUUUGUUUUCUCCCAGUACAAAAACUCCCUCAUACUGCAAACCAACAAUAAUAAUCAACAAAUCUGCUUAUGCUGUAUUUAAACAUGAUUUUGGUGUUGCGUCAUUGUCCUGUGCCUUUCUACAUGUUUCUGACCAGACUGAAGGAUGUGAGAUAUAAAAUCAUUUCUGGCUUGUAGUUUGACUGUAGCUUUUUAAUCUGUCUAACAGAAGUCUGGCUCCCCCCACCACCCCCGACAGUUUUAUCAGCAAAGAUCAAUUAUGAUGCCUGAGCAAUGAUGAUGAUGAAAUGUGCAUGGCUUUUGAAACAUGCUGCUAUGACAUGGGUGUGCAGUAAAGCAGUAGCACUUCACUACCGUCCUCAUGGGUUAGAAACAAAGACUUUUAUUUACAUUUUUUCCUGUUAGGACAUUUCAAACCAGUCACUUGUGUUACAAUAGAAUGAAAUGGGAGUUUUUCAUAUCGCUUGGGAUUUAUAUAAAAAGAAAAAAGAAAAGGAAAAAAAAAAUCCUGUCUUGGUCAUUUGUGUGGAAAUGAAAUGUGAAGAGAAAUGUGUCAGCUUUUGGUUCUAUUUAUUUUCAUGUUAAAACAGCGGAGAUGGUUGUUGUAGUCAGUCUCCGUGAGUAAUUAGUUUAACACAAGCACAAUACGUUUAUUGUUGAGAAGGAUGCUUUGAAAUUUCUAAAUCGCAGACUUGUGCACAAAAAUUAAAACUUAAUUGAUGUUGAUUGUAGCUAGGGUUUCUUUUCACGUCCUCAACAACAACAAAGACCAAUCUGGGACACGGUGACAGAUUUACCAAAGAUACACCGAAAUUUGCAAAGAAGACUGGAAAAAACAGUGACUCUAGUCAAAUUCAUCAGCUGACUUGA